CAAAGAAUAGUUUAAUUAAAAUAUUAAUUUUGGAGAUUAAAGAUAUUAAAUAUAUUAAUUUCUUUGA
rnacentral:tRNA from 1 species